rnacentral:rRNA from 1 species
UACGUAGGGUGCAAGCGUUGUCCGGAAUUAUUGGGCGUAAAGAGCUCGUAGGCGGUUUGUCGCGUCUGCCGUGAAAGUCCGGGGCUCAACUCCGGAUCUGCGGUGGGUACGGGCAGACUAGAGUGAUGUAGGGGAGACUGGAAUUCCUGGUGUAGCGGUGGAAAUGCGCAGAUAUCAGGAGGAACACCGGUGGCGAAGGCGGGUCUCUGGGCCGAUACUGACGCUGAGGAGCGAAAGCGUGGGGAGCGAACAGG